rnacentral:rRNA from 1 species
CCUACGGGGCGCAGCAGUAGGGAAUCUUUCACAAUGGGCGAAAGCCUGAUGGAGCAACGCCGCGUGCAGGAUGAAGGCCUUCGGGUUGUAAACUGCUUUUAUAAGCGAGAAAUAUGAUGGUAACUUAUGAAUAAGGAUCGGCUAACUACGUGCCAGCAGCCGCGGUCAUACGUAGGAUCCGAGCAUUAUCCGGAGUGACUGGGUGUAAAGAGUUGCGUAGGUGGCAUAAUAAGUAGCUAGUGAAAUCUGGUGGCUCAACCAUUCAGACUAUUAGCUAAACUGUUAAGCUCGAGACCGUUAGGGGUAACUGGAAUGUCUAGUGUAGGAGUGAAAUCCGUAGAUAUUAGAAGGAACACCAAUAGCGUAGGCAGGUUGCUGGGACGGUUCUGACACUAAGGCACGAAAGCGUAGGGAGCAAACGGGAUUAGAUACCCUAGUAGUC